GGGGAUUUAGCUCAGUUGGUAGAGCGUUCGCUUAGCAUCUCAGAGGAUCUCUUGCGAAAGGUCGCGUGUUCGACUCAUGCAGUCUCCA
rnacentral:tRNA from 1 species